rnacentral:rRNA from 1 species
UACGUAGGGUGCGAGCGUUAAUCGGAAUUACUGGGCGUAAAGUGUGCGCAGGCGGCGUCGCAAGUCGAGUGUGAAAGCCCCGAGCUUAACUUGGGAAUUGCGCUCGAAACUACGAUGCUGGAGUGUGGCAGAGGAAGGUGGAAUUCCACGUGUAGCGGUGAAAUGCGUAGAUAUCGGGAGGAAUACCUAUGGCGAAGGCAGGUUACUGGGGCCAUCACUGACGCUGAGCUGCGAAAGCUAGGGGAGCAAACAGG